AUAACAUCGCUGGCAGGAUGUUGUACAUUCUGGGAAGGAGAGGACGGAGAUAUUUUGGGUUUUCAGGUGAUAAAGAACAGAACAGGGAAGUUUUGUGUGUCUUUACUGCAUCAGAGUGUCUUGUAAAGUGUGAUGUGUAAACUUUGAUUUCAUGACGUCUGCUUCGUCGCUUUGCCUCGGAUGAAAGAGAAUCAUUGUUCCUCCCGCCUGCUCACCUGAUCUGCUAUCUGGUCCACAAAGGAAGCGGCUGUGGGGGGCAACGACAGGAAACCUCGUCAGAGGAAGGUUAGGGCAGCGAGCAUCAGAUCAGGUGGAGGCCAUUGUUCUGCCAGAAGAGACGCCUCAGUGCUGGAAGGACCUGCUGCUGAGGAACAUCAUGAUGCUGCCUCCACCGUGCUUCACGUCAUGAUGCUGCCUCCACCGUGCUUCACGUCAUGAUGCUGCCUCCACCGUGCUUCACGUCAUGAUGCUGCCUCCACCGUGAUUCACGUCGUGAUGCUGCCUCCACCGUGCUUCACGUCAUGAUGCUGCCUCCGCCGUGAUUCACGUCGUGAUGCUGCCUCCACCGUGCUUCACGUCAUGAUGCUGCCUCCGCCGUGCUUCACGUCGUGAUGCUGCCUCCACCGUGCUUCACGUCAUGAUGCUGCCUCCGCCGUGCUUCACGUCAUGAUGCUGCCUCCACCGUGCUUCACGUCAUGAUGCUGCCUCCGCCGUGCUUCACGUCAUGAUGCUGCCUCCACCGUGCUUCACGUCAUGAUGCUGCCUCCACCGUGCUUCACGUCAUGAUGCUGCCUCCACCGUGCUUCACAUCGUGAUGCUGCCUCCACCGUGCUUCACGUCAUGAUGCUGCCUCCACCGUGCUUCACGUCAUGAUGCUGCCUCCACCAUGCUUCACGUCAUGAUGCUGCCUCCACCGUGCUUCACAGUGGGGAUGGUGUGUUUGUGAUGAUGUUCAGUGUUUGGUGUCCAUCAAACAUAUCAUCUAGUCUGAUGGACAUAAAGCUCCAUCCUGGUCUCCUCAGAACAAAGAACCUUCUUCCAGGUGUCUUCAGAGUCUCAGCAUGAAGCAUUUAAUUGUUGUAUCUGAUUAAAAAGCAGCUAAUUUUCGCUACUUUGAAUGCUGUUAUACAUUUUAAUGCGUAAAAUUGUAUGUUUAGAUUGAUAUUGAUUUGAUUUUUACAUCUUCACAAAGUAACUGGGAACGAAAACUGGGAACACUAUAAUGAUAGUAUUGAAAACUCUACUUAGUAUGAGUAAAUGCUCAGCUAGCUGUAGCAUAUUAGUGGUAAAUAAGAUUCAGAUUUAUUGCUGUGGGUUUCUCUUUGAAGGUCAAACAUUAACAGACAUGUUCUUAUUCACCUCUCAAAUGUUUUUACAGUGAAAAUCCUUCCAUUAUGUGCUGACAUUCUCAUCACAUCUGACUUUAAGUUGUGCAACAGGACAAACUGUGCAUACACCCACCCAAACACUCAGACUGGAAGUCUUUUUUUGUUCUUUUAUCCGCUGAUCCUUCUUCAGACCAUUAACAUGUCAGAGAUUCUUGACGUGCAUUAAGUGGGAUCAUGUGAUAAUGUGACUUAAGCAGCAAUAAAAGUCUGUCAUCAUC